UGGCCAAGUUAGUCCCCUGUUAAAUCCACCGAAUUAAUCGUUGGAGUGCGGGGGAUACUGCUCGGCUAGGGGGCGAGAGAGGCCGACGGUAUUUUCGGGGUAGGGGUGAAAUCCUAUAAUCCCGGGAAGACCACCAGUGGCGAAGGCUGUCGGCUAGAACGCCCCCGACGGUGAGGGAUGAAAGCUGGGGGAGCGAACCGGAUUAGAUACCCGGGUAGUCCCAGCUGUAAACGAUGCAGGCUAGGUGUUUGGGCGGCCACGGGCCGCUCUAGUGCCGCAGGGAAGCUGUUAAGCCUGCCGCCUGGGGA
rnacentral:rRNA from 1 species